rfam:Microdochium bolleyi strain J235TASD1 unplaced genomic scaffold Micbo1qcscaffold_10, whole genome shotgun sequence.
GUUUCGGUAGCUCAGCGGUAGAGCGUGGGAUUGCAGCGGCUCUUCGAGCAUGCAGCAAUCAUCCUAAGGUCACGUGUUCGAUCCACGUUCGGAACU